UACGGAGGGUGCGAGCGUUGUCCGGAAUCAUUGGGCGUAAAGCGCACGUAGGCGGCUUUCAAGUCCCAUGUGAAAUCCCACGGCUUAACCGUGGAAGUGCAUGGGAAACUGGAAGCUUGAGUACUUAAGAGGAUCGCGGAAUUCCCGGUGUAGAGGUGAAAUUCGUAGAUAUCGGGAGGAACACCAGUGGCGAAGGCGGCGAUCUGGGAAGAUACUGACGCUGAGGUGCGAAAGCGUGGGAGCAACAGG
rnacentral:rRNA from 1 species